rnacentral:SRP_RNA from 1 species
CCAUGCUAAGCGGGAAAUUAGCGAUGUCCUGUACCUGCAAUUCGCUAGAGCAGGGCUGAAUUCUCUGUCGAGGAUUUUAUUUUUGCAGACUGCCCCUUAUAAGUGGUGUUGAUAAUUGGGUCCUGCGCAACAGAAACUUAUGAACCGUGUCAGGUCCUGAUCGAAGCAGCACUAAGU